rnacentral:tRNA from 1 species
GGGCGGUUAGCUCAGCGGUAGAGUACCGGUCUUACAAGCCGGGUGUCACUGGUUCGAACCCAGUACCGCCCACCA